GGGUCGGCUUUAGCUCAAGCGGUUACUUCCUCAAGCCAGGCUUUCUAGCUGUCUAAUCCCAAGUUCUGGGGUUCGAGACCCGCGGGUGCUUUCUGACCCUUUU
ensembl:misc_RNA Vault Vault RNA